AGGGAAAGAUGAAAGAACUGUAUCAAGCAUCAAAAAGCAAAGACAAACCCUUAUAUCUUCUGCAUAAUGUAUUAACUAGAAAUAACUUUACACAGAGAAUUAUAGCCAAGUUCCCCAAAACCAGACGAGCUACCGAAGAACAGCUGAAAGAGCACACUUACCUAUGUGACAAAAUAGUGAGAAGAUUCAUAAGUAGCAGUGACAAGCCUACCGAGCCUGGUGAUAGCUGGUUGUCCAAGAUGGGAUCUUAAUUCAACUUUAAACUUACCCACAGAAUUACUUAAUCUCCCCAUAAGUUUAGACAGCUCUGUAGACCCUAGGAAACAACCUUCCUACAGAGAGUAAAAAAUAUUUCCACCAUAGUUGGCCCAAAAGCAACCACCAAUUAAGAAAGCGUUUAAGCUCAACAUCUAUCUUAAAUUCUAGUCACUCUACUGAACUCCUAACAUCACAUUGGACUAAUCUAUUACUUAAUAGAAGCAAUAAUGUUAAUAUAAGUAAUAUGAAAACAUUCUCCAUUGCAUAAGCUUACAUCAGACUGGAAUAACCCACUGACAGUUAGCCUAAUAUUAAUAAACGAUAUAAUAAGCUCUUUAUUAUUUACACUGUUAACCCAACACAGGUAUGCUCUAAGGAAAGAAUACAAAAAGUAAAAGGAACUCCGCAAAUUUUACCCCGCCUGUUUACCAAAAACAUCACCUCUAGCAUUACCAGUAUUAGAGGCACUGCCUGCCCAGUGACAUACGUUCAAUGGCCGCAGUAUCCUGACUGUGCAAAGGUAGCAUAAUCACUUGUUCCUUAAAUAGGAACUUGUAUGAAUGACCACACGAGGGUUCAGCUGUCUCCUACUUUUAAUCAGGGAAAUUGACCUAUCCGCGAAGAGGCGGAUAUAAACAAAUAAGACGAGAAGACCCUAUGUAUGGAGCUUUAAUUUAUUAAUGCAAAUAAAAACUUAAGCCUACAGGCCCUAGCCUACUAUCCCUGCAUUAAAAUUUUUGGUUGGGGUGACCUCAGAGCAUAAUUCAACCUCCGAGCAACCUAAACUAAGACUGCACUAGUCUAAGCAAGUUAAUAUGUAUUGACCCGAUAAUUUGAUCAACGGAGUAAGUUACCCUAGGGAUAACAGCGCAAUCCUAUUCUAGAGUCCAUAUCAACAAUAGGGUUUACAAUCUCGAUGUUGGAUCAGGACAUCCUAAUGGUGUCGCCGCUAUUAGGGGUUCGUUUGUUCAACAAUUAAAGUCCUACGUGAUGUGAGUUCAGACCAGAGUAAUCCAGGUUGGUUUCUAUCUAUUUAACAUUUCCCCUAG
rfam:Pan troglodytes isolate Yerkes chimp pedigree #C0471 (Clint) chromosome X, whole genome shotgun sequence.